CAUUCAAUGUUUUGAUCUUAAUAUACUAUGGAUUCAUGUCGUUGGAUCAAUCAAUCAAUCACGGAUACGAAAAUAGAAAGCUUAUGAUUAAUCCUUGCUUGUAAAUGAUUUCCUAUUUGACCUUUGCUUGAUUACCAAGUAUUUAAAGAAU